ensembl:lncRNA
CUCUGAGAGCCUUGUCCAUGGAUGAGGGGAAAGGAGGAGGAGGACAAGGAAGAGGGAGGGAAAAUGAAAGAUAAAUUAAUAAACCAGCAGAGUGAGAGAUGCCCUAUAGAAGAGGAUGUCUGCUUGCAGAGCUGUUGAUCCCCCAGGCAUGUGGUGUGCUGUUGUCCCCACCACGCCUCCAGCACCAGCAAGCAGAAGAUGUCAUCUCCCCACACCUUCCUGAAGAUGGGCAGAGGUCCCUGCUGGAAGCCCCUCUGCUUGGCACGGGGCUGCUCGCUCCUCUGGGCACCACAGUGAUUCCCAAGUCCUUGUCUCAGGGCUUUGCACUCAACCCUUCUUCCGGGGCUGCUUCUCUCUCCGUGUGGUGAGGGAGGACACCUUCCCUGCACAUAGAUGGACGGGACCAUCCUCAGUAGGCUCACACCAUGGCACCUUGCAGGGGAACAGUGAGAUGUCCCAGCACCAGGAGGUGUUUGGAGCAUCAGCAGCCCUGAGCCCUGCUUUGCUCUGUCGGGUGUGGGUGUGUGUCUGCGGGCUCCGAGGGCACCCACCUGCAGGACACCUGUGGAGAUGAGAUCAGGCAGCGCCCCGGGGACGCAGGCCAAGACAGAGCAGUGGUUUCCCAGCGAGGGACUGGAUGGGCUGGAGCUUCCUGAGCAGGUGUGCCAAGCAGGGAAGCUUGGAAGGUUACGGAGGAUGUCCUAGCCGACUCCACAGCUGGGCUUGCAGCACCAGAGAAGAAAAUGAAAGGGAUAAGUGCUGGCAGCCCUGGAAAUACCCAUGUGGGAUGCAUCCCACCAGCAACAGAACCCCUGAGGAAGGUGUCAGGGCUGAGAGGGGCAAGUAUGGAGCCAACACAUCUGCCUUCAUCCUUUGUCGUGGGUGUUCUCUCCAGCUAAGCAGCUCAGUCCACAAGCAACCAAGACAGGCCCCGGAGCAGGAUAGCUCAUACCCUGCUGACGCAUAUGGUCAUUAUUUAGUGAUCCUGAGCCUUGCUGACUGCACGAAAAAUUACAGAAGUUGGCCUGAUGGUACAGAACUAACUUAAGGCAGACAGCACACCCCCUUCCCUGAAAGGGGAAACUCACUGAACUCCCUGGGAUGACUCUCAGAAGCCAGCAAUAAGAACGGGAAUAAAAAUUGCAUAACUUAGCACUGUUUGCAAUGGCCCAGUGCCUUCUAGCUAUCCAGGCCCCUUCUGAGUAUUGCUAAGUUCAGGAAUAGUGCUAAGAUAUCUGUUAUUCCACUGGAAUUCCCCACCCUUUAAAUUUUCUGCCACUUCUGUUGUUAUGAAGGAAGGGCAGGUGGCCCUAGCUGUUCCCUGUGAGACCAUUAGCACACUGGUAUUGAGGUUUCCUCUUACUCUUCUCCCUCCUAAUGUAACGUAUCCCAGCAUUUUCAGGGUAUUCAGAUAAGAACUAGCCCAGGGCCAUUCUCACCAUGUUAUCUUUCUGGGACCUACGGUGGUGGCUGCACACUGGGUAAUGUAAAGAUGUUGGGACCUCAACAGCAUUCUUUCCCAAGCCCUUUUACACUAUGCCCACAUCCUCCCCAGGCAUUUCUACAGACAUCUUAGAACGCUGUGAAGUCCACAAGUGCUUCAGGCUGCAUUAACAUGUGUUCAUCAUCCCGGGCUGUGUCCUGCAACUGGAAUCCCUCAUCACUGAGCAUCUCAGGUUGUCUCCUCAAGAGUCCUCAAGUUCCUUCUUGUCCAGCAGGUGGGCAAGAGUGUGUCAAGCUCCAGAUCUGGGAAAUCUGGGAGUGUUGGAGGGAUCUCAAGAAGAUAAAAAUACCAACUUGCCACCAAAUGCAACAAUACAGCUCUUCAGCAUUGCCUGGAUGAUGAGUGAACAGAAAUCCCUGCAGCCCUAAAUGCUCCCACCUGAUCAGUCCCCCAGCAGCUGCCUUUGCCUUCAGAACCUGAUGAAAGGGGACUUGAAGAGCUGGAUAUCUGUAUUUUUAGGGCAGCUUUUCAUGAGCCUACUGACUCUUACCUCCUAGGCCAGCCUGUGGCAGAGAGAUCUCCUUCUGAGCUGUGGCCCUAAGGUAGCAGCUCCUCUGCUCUGCACCAGCACUGAGCCUCUGGGUUUUUUCCUGGUAGGAUGGGAGAGCCUAAAGCAGUUGUGUUAGAUCCUGCUGCCCAUCUGAUUGUAGAUAAAAGAAAAAAAAAACAGAAGAUAAAUGAGAAAAUGAGGAGAGCCGUCAUACUGCUUGGGUAGAGCUGGUAAAACCUCACUCCAGGAUAUUUGUUAAGGUCAGUGGAAUUUAAGCACUUUCUUGGAAAUUUGUGUAAGCGGUUCUGUGAGCAAAAGCUCCGGAGCAGGCUUGGGCAAGGCCUGGCAGGGCAAACGUGACUGCAGGCAGAAGCACUCUCUCUUUCCCUGGGAUGCAAACUCGCUAACCUCUGUGGGAUGGUGGGGACAACAUGAGGAAUGAGCACAUGGAUUGCAUAACACGCUAUGUCAGAAACUAGGCUUGAUGCUGAGCCAAUGUAAAUUUAAACCAAGUGCUACAUUAGGUCAGAUCAAAAGUCCACCUUGUUCAUUCUCCUGACUUUGACAACAACUACAAGCGUUGAGUUCAGGGGUACAGCAUAAAAGUCGGACCUUUGCAGAAUGAUCUUUCCCCACUAUGGGCCCCUAGCCUCAGACGUGUCCGAAGACGGAGUUUUGGCUGGACCAUUGUGUUUAGCAGUGAGAGCCUUCUCCAGAAGUCUGCCUAGAGCCUUGUUGGAGCCAUGUGGGUAUGUUCUUCCCACACUGAGCUCCGCAGGGUGGUCAUGGGGCGGCCACACGCAACGUGAAAGGAAUAGCGCUACCAAAUGGAUAGAGGGGCCUCAUGAAGGUGUGCCGCACAAAAUCCGGCCCCUGCCUUCCACUCACGCUUCUCAGCACUCACGCAGCGGAAGACUAAAAACUGUUCUGUGCUUCUGGAGGAGUCCUGCAGACGGAGCAUACAGAAGGAGCUGAAGAAGCCCAAGUAUGAAAGAAGUUGCCGGUCAUUACCGCGCGAGGGAUGCCUCCACGGGAACUCCACAAAGUGAUGUUAAUUGUGAUGCUUUGAAAAUGUUGUGUAAACAAGUGUUUCUGAGAUACAUAUGUUGCAAGUUAUUAUGCGGCCAUAAAAGAGCAAGGAAAGAAGAAACCGAAACACAAAAUGUUCUGUGACGCCAGAACGCACUUCUGGAGAGUAUCAGUUUGCAAACCGCAGUGUAAGUUUAUGCCCACAAUUCAAUUGACCUCCUGAAAGCAAAGGUAAACAGGAAUAGAAGGGCAGGCGUCUGCGGUUCCCUCUCUCCUCUGGAGAAAUAUAUUCUCUAUCAAGCUCUGUCCUGUUUCAUCGUGUUCUGUCAGCCUCUGAGCAGCUAAAACAGAACUAGUAGAGACCUACGCACUUAGGUGGGCUGGGAAUGGGGCCUGGGAGACACAGUUUGCCAUUAGGAGAGCGCUGAGCUCCCAAAUCUCAAGAGGGAACCCUACAGCCACCCUGAAAAACACACGAACGAAAACAAAAGGGUGGCUUAAGAAAGCAGCCUGCUCUGAGGGGCUGCGCUUUUGUGGUGGGAAUCAAACCUUUAGUGGGAGGGAAGGCAAGUCGUGGGUGGAACCUGCCCCCCAGGAGGAGAUAGAAUAAGUAAUCGUCAGGAAGGUAAGGCCAGGGGUUGGCUCAGCUCCACUGCUGGUUCCAGCUCAGCCUCUCCCAGCACAGCCCCUCUGCACGAUCCCCACAGUGGUAGGGUUACGGCGUGAUGAACAGGCAGCCAUGCACUGGGAGCCUGUUCUCCAACCUGGAGAGAGGGGUGAGUGGGGAAGGGAUGUGCUCUGGCCCCACAGCUCUGUGUGUCACAUCCCCAGCUGGCGUGAGGGAUGGCAGGAUGGGGUGCACUGGCAAAGCGUGGCUGCUCAUUGCCAGGGUUGUGUCUAUCUCCAGAGCCAGGAGCACGUGUGGUGGAAGCAAACUGGUUGUGGAGGUUUCUGGCUGGCUUUGCUCUGUGCGUACACAUGCUCGCAUUCCUAUUUACAUACACCUCCACCCACACAGAAUCUGAACUGGAAUCAAAAUAAUUUGAAAUCAUAGAGUGCGAUUUUCCUAUGGCAAAGCCAACCUGAGCUUCACCCUGUGGGUGCUCCUUAUGCAAACUUCCCAUUCUUUCCCCCGCUCUUUCCCACUGCUCUGUGUAGAUGAACCCCUCUUGCAUCACGUUGUCUCCCCGGUUCUGAUCUGGCUCAGUGGGACAGCUCAUCUUCUGACAUCACAACUUCUGAAUGGUUCUGCACUCCCGCGUGAAGCACUUGCUCUGUGGAGGCUGGUGAGAUUAAAUGCCCAGCAAGCACCCAGGAAGGGCUGCCAGCUGCAGCUUCGCUCCAUUAGUACGACGUGUGCCAGGGACUGGGAGCUGAGCAGCCCCAGAAGGCAGCUUCCUGAUGCAAUUAAGAUAGAGGUGAAUUUAGAGACAUCUUGCCAGUCUCAUGGGACACAUGCUGCUAAUUAAAAGUCAAUCAGAGCAUUUAGGACCAAGGACGAAGAUGCAUGCUCUGGUGGUAGAAGACAUUUCUGCAUGUUCUCAUUACUCCGGUGUCUGGAUCUACAGAACGUGGCCUGUGCAAGAGAGGUUUCCUUGGACUCUUGGCUUACACUGUAUGCUUUAUCCAGCCUAAACGUUUGGGAAAAUCAGAGAGGCAGGCCGUCCUGCAGGUCAGGCACUGGGGUGAGGCUCAGGGGUUUUCAGUUUUGCAUUUGAAUCAUCUGGAUUUGAAGCACAGUGCUGGAAAAGUCACUUUCUUUAUGCCUCCGUUCACAUCAUACAGGCAGGGCGUGCAGAGGGCUUCCUCUGGUGGGACCCUGCCCAAACAAUAGAGCUUUGAGCCAGGGACGGUUUCCUAUUCCAAGUGUGCAGCAUGGCUGGUCUCUCAUCUCCCUCACCCUUAAGACAGCUGUGAUACAAAUGGUCAAUCAUCAGAAGACUGUUUUUUUUCCCGACUGUGAAUUCAAUUUCAACCAGGCAUUGUGUUCUCUGCAAAUUAUGAGCAUUUCUGUUGGAAGGUUUGCGACCCUGGCAAGCAAGUGAAUAGGGUUUGUGCACUGACAGUAAUUAAAUGAUGCAUUCACUUUGGGGUUGAGGAGGAAAUGUGCUCUAGGGUGGUCCAUCGAAUCCAGAAGCAGCACCACACGACUGAAGAGGCAGCUCAAACAAAGGAUUUCACAGCGAGACUUUUACAGCUAAGGCAUUCGGGGUCUUUGGAUUGGGAUUCAGUUCCCAGACACAGAUCUGCAGCAAAAGCUGAGGCUCUCAGGUUCAUCCGUAUGAGGGGAUGCACAGCUACCUGGCAGGCUGGGGGAGCUUCCAGCAGAAGGAGCCACACGUAUGUGAUGAUAACACGUGUCCUGGUGUGAUAUUGGGAGGCUAAAAUCCCUUCUCCAAGUCAUUUGAAAUGGCAACCUUAGGAAAGCAGAAAAUCAAAAGAUAAUCUGUUUGUAAAGGGGACAGGAAUUAAUUAAGUGUACAUUGUGUAGAGUGAAUAUUUUAUGUGUAUUUAAUUACGUUUCCCUCUCCUAUUUCGCCCCUUUGGAUUUUAAAGCGGU